rnacentral:ncRNA from 1 species
CCUCUGGAUAACUUUGCGGAUCGCACGGUCUAGCACCGGCGACGGAUCAUUCAAGUGUCUGCCCUAUCAACUUUCGUCGGUACGGUAUUUGCCUACCGAGGUUCUUACGGGUGACGGGGAAUCAGGGUUCGAUUCCGGAGAGGGAGCCUGAGAAACGGCUACCACAUCCAAGGAAGGCAGCAGGCGCGCAAAUUACCCAUUCCCGACGCGGGGAGGUAGUGACGAAAAAUAACAAUGCAGGACUCGUUCGAGGCCCUGUAAUUGGAAUGAGUACACUUUAAAAGCUUUAACGAGUAUCCAUUGGAGGGCAAGUCUGGUGCCAGCAGCCGCGGUAAUUCCAGCUCCAAAAGUAUAUAUUUAAGUUGUUGCGGUUAAAAAGCUCGUAGUUGGAUUUUGGGCGCAGGAGGCCG